CGGUAUACUGUACUGUGCAGUUCGUGUCCGCAUCGUCAUACGCGCCAGUAUUGCUGGAAGACUGCAGGAACAGAACCCCCUGGAAAGAUGAGUUCCUUAUUAAAGAAAGGCUUGAUGCUGUUUACUCCACACUCUUAGGCUGACUUUGUAUUAUUUGUCUGUGAAGACAGUUCACAGUUUCUGAAUCCCAUCAAGAAUGAAGACCUGCAGGCCACCAUAUUGAGAUGGUCCGAUGUCAUGAUAUGGCGCUUUUCCAAUGUAGGGUACAACUUGGCUCGGCACGAUGCAGCUCAGCUCGCUUUCGUUGCUUUUCCAGUACAGUUUAGUGUCGCUUCAGAGUGGGUGAGAUUAUAGGCAGGGGUGCACAUAACUGGUGCGUAUGCUCAAAUAGAAAAAAUUCUAGCGUACCAACGUUGCUGGAAUUUUGUUACAUAGUUAGCUAAUUUACUUUGACAUAAAAGAUUUCUUCGUGCAUCAGUGGUAAGAUAAUUAAUGUGUGUUGUUAGCAGUGAUCUGCAUCUCAAUGCUUCAGACAGCUUGCUAGUACAAGUAUACAUUUAUAUGAGUUAGGCUAGUAGUUAUUUAUAAAGAUUAGAUAAGUUAAAAACAAUAACCAGGGUUAUUUUAUGUACAUCAUUGUCUACCAUGUUUAAACAAAAGCGAUAUGGCGAAGAGAGUAGUCAGGAGAAAAGUGAUGAUGUCAGCAUGUAGGAUGUCUGUGCUAUGAAUAGUGUGAGUACCAAGUAACAUCUCCAGGUACUUCUUUGAGAACCAGGACAAAAAAAGUUAUGUGCACCCCUGAUUAUAGCCUUAUUGUUAAAGUUGCGUCCUCUCUACUGCCGUAACAUCAUCGUAAAUGUGAUACAAACACACACACACACACAACAUGGAGCAACAGAGCAUAUUAAUGGAAUGCAGCCACAAAAUCAAAAUUGACAGCCACAAGUAGAUUUUCCACUACCUCUCUCACAUGACAGGUUCUAUACAAACACCCGUGUCAUCAGUACCUGUACUCCGCUGACAGAACAUUUACGCCUAUACUUUUGGUGCGUUUUGAAUGCGGAGCCAUGCGCAAAGUUACAAAACUGCCAUCCAGACAUGGGCGCGGUGGUGUGCUCUGCAUUUUUGUAACUUUGCACAUGGCUUCGCAUCCGAAACCCAUUACCCCUUCCCCAAAAGUGAGCUGUGCUGAACUGGGUCAUACUAUGCAAUGGAAAAGCGCCAAAAGUGUCCUACUUCCUGGCUUGAAUGAUUUAGAAUUUUCAGCGUUGGACUUGUGUUCCGCGUGUUUGGCCUCUUUAGCACUUGUUGUUUGAAAGUCAUUGCUUGCAACAGAUUGAGUGAAUGUCAUUCUGCAUUUCUGUUUGCAUUGCUUUGCUUGCAUUUGAAUCCUUUGCAAUAAUAAAAGUUUUACAUUUGAGCUGUAGUUGUAGAUUCAAGUUUGUUUUUCCUUGAUAUAAUGUAUUUGUAUAGAUUUUUGCUGUGUGACAAUUAUAUAUCAUGCAGUGCUUCAUAUAUGAGAAAGACAACGCUUGAACCCCACAACACCGUAUCAUAUUAAUCAGAAUAAACAUUAAGUACUUGCACUUCAUUUAUAUUUAAUUGGGUGAUGUGUAACUUCACAAUGGUGGAUUCUUUAACUAUUACAUGAAUAUGUGCAUUGUGAUUUCGAUUUAUUGACAAUAGUUAUGUCUUAGGAAUAGUAUGGAAAAUCAUUAACUAAAAAAGACAUGGUGCCAGAUCUUUUUAUUCACAUUAAAUGUAAAAUUAUUGUAAAAUUGUAAGUUGCUUUAAUGGGAUCUAUGUAAUAAAAUCAGUAAAGGGUUGAUAUAAAGGCCAUGUUUUAGCAUACUAGUUUAAAAAUUAAGAAAAUAAUAAUAAUAAUUAUAAAAUAAUAUUAGAUACUAUAAACUACGAUUUUCAUUAGUAAAGUAAUAGCAAAAACAGCAUUUUUACUUUGAUGUCUGCAUGAAAGGGUAACCCUGCCUUAUGGUUAAAUGUGUAGUAUGGGUUUAUAUUAAAACUGAGUGGUUUCACGUCCCCGGAAGGUCCGCCUGCGAACGUUGUCUAGCGGACCAUAUGCUAACGUCCUCGGAAGGUCCGCCAGCGAACGUUAUUUAACGGACCAUAUGCGGACGUCCCCGGAAGGUCCGCCAGCGAACGUUAUUUAGCGGACCAUAUGCGGACGUCCCCGGAAGGUCCGCCAGCGAACGUUACAAUGCGGACCUUAUGCGGACGUCCUCGGAAGGUCCGCCAGCGAACGUUACAAUGCGGACCUCAUGCGGACCUAAGAGGACGUUCGCAACGUCCGGAGGACGUCCCCU